rnacentral:rRNA from 1 species
UACGAAGGGGGCUAGCGUUGUUCGGAAUCACUGGGCGUAAAGCGCACGUAGGCGGGUUUGUAAGUUAGGGGUGAAAUCCCGGGGCUCAACCUCGGAACUGCCCUUGAUACUGCAAGCCUAGAGUCCGAGAGAGGUGAGUGGAAUUCCUAGUGUAGAGGUGAAAUUCGUAGAUAUUAGGAAGAACACCAGUGGCGAAGGCG